GAUGAGCGCUGGCGGCGUGCCUAAUACAUGCAAGUCGAGCGAACGGACGAGAAGCUUGCUUCUCUGAUGCUAGCGGCGGACGGGUGAGUAACACGUGGAUAACCUACCUAUAAGACUGGGAUAACUUCGGGAAACCGGAGCUAAUACCGGAUAAUAUUUUGAACCGCAUGGUUCAAAAGUGAAAGACGGUCUUGCUGUCACUUAUAGAUGGAUCCGCGCUGCAUUAGCUAGUUGGUAAGGUAACGGCUUACCAAGGCAACGAUGCAUAGCCGACCUGAGAGGGUGAUCGGCCACACUGGAACUGAGACACGGUCCAGACUCCUACGGGAGGCAGCAGUAGGGAAUCUUCCGCAAUGGGCGAAAGCCUGACGGAGCAACGCCGCGUGAGUGAUGAAGGUCUUCGGAUCGUAAAACUCUGUUAUUAGGGAAGAACAUAUGUGUAAGUAACUGUGCACAUCUUGACGGUACCUAAUCAGAAAGCCACGGCUAACUACGUG
rnacentral:rRNA from 1 species